rnacentral:rRNA from 1 species
GGAUUGCCUUAGUAGCGGCGAGUGAAGCGGCAAAAGCUCAAAUUUGAAAUCUGGCUCUUUCAGAGUCCGAGUUGUAAUUUGAAGAAGGUAUCUUUGGGUCUGGCUCUUGUCUAUGUUUCUUGGAACAGAACGUCACAGAGGGUGAGAAUCCCGUGCGAUGAGAUGAUCCAGGCCUAUGUAAAGUUCCUUCGAAGAGUCGAGUUGUUUGGGAAUGCAGCUCUAAGUGGGUGGUAAAUUCCAUCUAAAGCUAAAUAUUGGCGAGAGACCGAUAGCGAACAAGUACAGUGAUGGAAAGAUGAAAAGAACUUUGAAAAGAGAGUGAAAAAGUACGUGAAAUUGUUGAAAGGGAAGGGCUUGAGAUCAGACUUGGUAUUUUGUAUGUUACUUCUUCGGGGGUGGCCUCUACAGUUUAUCGGGCCAGCAUCAGUUUGGGCGGUAGGAGAAUUGCGUUGGAAUGUGGCACGGCUUCGGUUGUGUGUUAUAGCCUUCGUCGAUACUGCCAGCCUAGACUGAGGACUGCGGUUUAUACCUAGGAUGUUGGCAUAAUGAUCUUAAGUCGCCCGUCUUGAAACACGGACCAAGGAGUCUAACGUCUAUGCGAGUGUUUGGGUGUAAAACCCGUACGCGUAAUGAAAGUGAACGUAGGUGGGGGCCCGUAUGGGUGCACCAUCGACCGAUCCUGAUGUCUUCGGAUGGAUUUGAGUAAGAGCAUAGCUGUUGGGACCCGAAAGAUGGUGAACUAUGCCUGAAUAGGGUGAAGCCAGAGGAAACUCUGGUGGAGGCUCGUAGCGGUUCUGACGUGCAAAUCGAUCGUCGAAUUUGGGUAUAGG